GAGAAGGGAGUGGGGUGAUAGAUUUAGCAUGCUGGGGGAAAAAAAACAAGCCUGUCAACUGCGAAUUCUACACACGUAAAAAAGUGUCCUUUGGUUCCUAUUAAAAACAAACUAAGAUCCCAGAAAUAACAAGUGCUGGAGAGGAUAUGGAGAAACUGGAACCCUUGUGCAUGGUUACUGGCAAUUUAAAAUGGCACAGCUACUAAGAACAGUGUGGCAAUUCCUCAAAAAAUUAAAAACAGAAUUAUUAUACGAUGUAGCAGUUCCAUAUCUUUGUAUAUAGCUGGCCCUCUGUAUCCAAGGGUUUUGUUGUUGUUGUUGUUCUUGUUUUUUGCCCAGGCUCCGUCUCAACAACAACAAAAAAGUUUGGCUCCUAUCCUGCCUUCUCUGGAAAGUCAUCCUCAUCAUCUUACAAAGUGCUGUAACCUUGCAAUACAUUGCAGGAGACUGUUAGUUAUUUGUUAUAAGCUAUACAUGGCCUUGUGAUGUUUUUGUGAUUCUCGCCUUACCCUGUUAUGUAAAUCCAGGAGUCACCCUUGACUCCAGUUCCAUCCAAUCCAUUUACUUCAGUUUUAUGCCCUUGCAGGAUUUCCUGGGGAAAAAAAAUUAGAGGAUUUGGUUUUGAAAUAAACUUAAUUUUUUAAUUUUAUGAUAAACACAGAUACAAAAAAAAAAAAAAAAAAAGAAAACACACACACAAGAAAGCAUGAGAACUGGCCAGGCCGUGGUGGCUCACACCUGUAAUCCCAGCACUUUGGGAGGCUGAGGUGCGCACAUCACCUGAUGUCAGGAGUUCAAGACCAGCCUGGCCAACAUGGCAAAACUCUGUCUCUACUACAAAUACAGAAAUUAGCUGGGCUUGGUUGCAGGCACCUGUAAUCCCAGCUACUCAGGAGGCUGAGGCAGGAGAAUCACUUGAACCCGGGAGGUGGAGGUUGCAGUGAGCGGAGAUAGGGUCACUUCACUCAAGCCUGGGCAACAGAGCAAGACUCCAUCUCAAAAAAACCAAAAAAUGAAACAAACAAAAAAAAUCAUGAACUAUAAGGAGAUAAUAAUUAUUAUUACUAUUAUCAUUGUUAUUGUU
rnacentral:lncRNA from 1 species